UACGUAGGGCGCAAGCGUUGUCCGGAAUUAUUGGGCGUAAAGAGCUCGUAGGCGGUUUGUCGCGUCUGUCGUGAAAGCUUGGGGCUUAACCCCAAGUCUGCGGUGGAUACGGGCAGACUAGAGGCAGGUAGGGGAGAACGGAAUUCCCGGUGUAGCGGUGAAAUGCGCAGAUAUCGGGAGGAACACCGAUGGCGAAGGCAGGUCUCUGGGCAUUAACUGACGCUGAGGAGCGAAAGCAUGGGGAGCGAACAGG
rnacentral:rRNA from 1 species